rnacentral:antisense_RNA from 1 species
GACGGAUGCUCCCGGGUGACAUAUCAUGAAUCUCUCUGAGGUAAGACGUGCCUUUUGCCUUCCACCUUCUGCCAUGACUGUGAGGCCCUGCCAGCCACAUGGAACUAGCCCUAGAUUUGAAAAAAGAUGCUUCUGUGGUUCCAGGCAAGAUGGCUGACUAGGAACAGCUCCAGUCGGCAGCUCCCAGCGAGACCAACACAGAAGGCCGUCAUCCUUAAGCCAUAAAAUGCCCUGUAUAGGUGGAACAGGUCAGAAGACUGAAUGCUCAAGCUGCAUGUGGAGUUAACAUGGCAAUAACACAGAAUGUGAUGACAGCAGACUCUAGAAUCUCAUGACAUCAGUUUAUAUUAGAACUGUUCUGUAGCUCACCUUUCUCCGAAGUUGGAAUUCACAUGGCUGUGGAAUGUGUUUCUACCUUCACUGUUCGAGGAGUCAUCCAACAAAUCCAGGGGUGGGAAAACAGCUGGAUGAGGACAAUAACAUAUAUGACACCUGUAUAAUCCUCUACCUUGGACCAUCUCUCUCACCAGCUGCCUUCCACACCCCUGUCCUACUAACUCCUUCUUUCACUUGAACAUUCUUUACCCCAGAUUUUUGCAUCCUUCAGUGACAUGGAAAAGCAACUGUUAAGAGACUUUGGCCUAAAGAUACAUUGAGAAGGGAAAAAAAGUUUAAUAAGUGGCAAAUGUCAUUGCCACCACAAAGGAAACAAGCCUCGUCCACCUAGGCAGUAAAGUAUGUCAU